rnacentral:rRNA from 1 species
AACGAACGCUGGCGGCGUGCUUAACUCAUGCAAGUCGAACGGUAAGGCCCUUCGGGGUACACGAGUGGCGAACGGGUGAGUAACACGUGGGUGAUCUGCCCUGCACUUCGGGAUAAGCCUGGGAAACUGGGUCUAAUACCGGAUAGGACCACUGCCUGCAUGGGUGGUGGUGGAAAGCUUUUGCGGUGUGGGAUGGGCCCGCGGCCUAUCAGCGUGUUGGUGGGGUGAUGGCCUACCAAGGCGACGACGGGUAGCCGGCCUGAGAGGGUGUCCGGCCACACUGGGACUGGGAUACGGCCCAGACUCCUACGGGAGGCAGCAGUGGGGAAUAUUGCACAAUGGGCGCAAGCCUGAUGCAGCGACGCCGCGUGAGGGAUGACGGCCUUCGGGUUGUAAACCUCUUUCAGCACCGACGAAGCGCAAGUGACGGUAGGUGCAGAAGAAGGACCGGCCAACUACGUGCCAGCCGCCGCCGUAAAAC